UGUUAGUAAUACAGAAUCUUGUGCCUCAGCCUGAACCCAUCAAGACAAAUCUAUAUUUUAACCAGAUAUUCAGGUGAUUUUUAUGCUCAUUAAAGCUUGGAAAGCAGUUCUGGAAGACAACUUGUAAGUGGCCUAAGGGAAUAGGCAAGAAGACAGCCUUCUAGGCAGAUGGAACAACAUGGGCAAAAAGGCUCAAGGCAGAAAGAACUUGCCUUGUUCUAAGAACUGUAGGUGCAUAGUGGUUGGUGUGGCCAGAGGCAGUAUAAUGGGACAGAUUGCUGGAAAUGAGGCAAGAGAAGUGUACAGAGGUUGCAGAAUAAUAGGAUGCUACAUAUGAAGGAAUUGGACCUUCCACAAGGACCAAGGACAGAUGCAAGUGCUGGGAUCUCCCAACCUUCUUUCCAAGCUUGGAAGAUCCAGACUUCAGUGUGAUGACACAGCAUUUUCACCCCCUGGACCCCAAUGAAUGAACCAGACAGUUGGAUGAGCCGAGGAGUGAUUUUGGUAUGUGGUACACUUGGGACCUAACAGGGUAUAGCUUGUGAGCAUGGCUGUCUGUGAAGUGGAAAACACUAUUUGUGAGUGAAGCAAUAUGGGCUCUGAAGGACAGUAUUGAAGCUGAAGAAAAAAAAAAGCAGCUAUAUCAUAAUACAAUGGAACAUUUGAGAUGGAUAAAUGGCACAAGCAAUCUAGUCCAAAGGGGGAAUGAGAAGGAUUUAUUACAUAAUAGGUGGCACAGCUUGGACAGAAAUGCUAAACUCUGGUUCUUAGGCCAGUAUUUUUGGCACAGACCUAUACUUUCAUUGUAGAAAUUAUUCAUAAAUUUCUUUUCUAGGUAUAGCUCUACUGUUUUUUCAAAGAAUACACUUAGUAACUUAGUAACAAUGAAAUAAAAAAAUGAUUUCUAAAAUAGAAAUUAAGAAAAAAUAAGACAGUUUUUAUGCAAAACAUGCAUGUUUACCCCAACAAAAUUCUUAGUAUUGUAGGAAGAAAGCCCCUUGGCAGGGAUGAAGUGAGUAAGAAUGUAUACUAUCAAUUCAGAGUGAGAAAUAUCACCUGAAUACAUGCAUAGGAACAUGGCUGUUUGGUGUUGCAAUCGAGUGAGAAAAAUAAGGUUUUCAACAGCACUAAAAACUCAUGGAACUUUUGUAAAAAAAUGAACCAGGCUGAGAAGUCUCUAAGAGGUAAAAGUAUUCGGAUGAAUAGCAGAAUUGCUCUUAAGAAGUAAAUGUUAAAACUGUAGCAAUAGCCCUGAGAGUUUUCAUUAAGAACUACAGCUUUUCUAGAGAAUAGCGAUUUUUCUAUACCUUUGUCAUCUCAUAAAUCUGCUUAUUACCAUGUGUGUUACAGUUCGUAGAGCAAAUUUGCUCUAAAUGGUGUGUGAUGAGCUUUCUAGCCAAAGGAGAAUGUUUAGGCCAAAGUUCAGCAUGAGUCUGGUUUAUCUGUAUGCAUACCUAAACCCUGGUUAGCUCGAACAAUUAUAGUCCAUCCUGCUUCUUUGUCUUCUUUCUGUAAAGCCUUAUUCUGAUCCUAGUAUUGUGAAAUGUGUGGAAGUUUUAAUGUUCUGAAUUUAUAUUCUCUAUUGUAUUUCAUAUUGAUGGGUGCCGUAAUUCAUCUAAUUUGAAAAAAAAAUUAAUUGAGUGCAAAGGCUUUGUAUUAAGAGAUACAAGAGAUUAUAGGUGAUUUAAAAAUCAGAUGAUUAAUAGAGCUGAAAAGGUCUUAGAUUAUUUGUCCAACCUGCUUAUUUAAAAAAUAAAGAAAGUGAGAUCUUGCCUCAGAUUUUUAUACUUUUUGAUGAAGCUAAGAUUGAAACUGAAGUACCUUAAAUUCUCAUCUACUUUGCUUUAUAUUAAACCUCACUGGGCCAGAAUCCCUGAACUUCCAAAGCUUGCUAUUUUUGUAAGGAGGAUAAAUAGACAUUUUUAUACUUGGCUCAAAGAAAGGCAGAAAUACAAGAUGCUCUGGGGGUUUAAAAUAUGAACGUUGGAAAUAAAGAAAAAUUACAAAAAAAAAAAACAAAGAAGAGCAUUACAGGUUUUAUUAUGGUAAAGGUGUGGCACUUAUAGUCUUUGUUAUCUGGAUACAUGUAAUCCAUUUGUUACGGAGUUAUUAGUUUCCAUAAGAUUGCUACUCUCCUCCUCCUUCUUCUUUUUUUGGGGGGCCCCAACAUGGGACUCAAAUUCAUGACUUGAGAUCAAGACCUGAGCUGAGAUCAAGAGUCAGACACCCAACCAGCUGAGCUACCCAGGAACCUCAAGAUGGCUAUUCUUCUCACUGGAGGCUACUCAGUUAGUGGUAUAGGAGCCAAAGAAUGAACCAAGAUAGGUGUUGGUUCCAGAGGCAGUCAACAACAAGAGGAGAUUAUGUUAAAUCUCUUCCUAUAUUCAAAGCCAAAUUUAAUCCUCUCAAGGAUCCUAUGAAGUAACUAACAGAUAUUUUCUUUAAAAAAU